UUACCUGCUGCUCAAACCCAAAACCGAUGCUCUACUGAUUAUUUCAGUCCCUAAUAGAAGGGAUAGGGCAGCGUUUUGUGGAAUUUCAGACUCGGUUUCUGCAUCCAAUUUCUUCAAAGAUUCGAAUGUAUAAUAAAUGAUUAGAAGAAUCAGCUAACAACUCUUAUUGCAUGAGCAAUAUUUGGCCUCGUAUGAACCAUAGCAUACAUCAAACUACCAACUACAGAUGAGUAAGGUAUUGAAGUCAUUUCUUAUUUAUCUUUGUCACUUGUAGGAUAAUGUUUGGAGCUUAGCUUGAAAUGCUUACAAGUGGAAAACUAACUGUUUUAGCUUUGCUCAAGUUAAAUCUUUUAAGUGCUUUUUCAACAUAAGCUUCUUGGGAUAACCAAAGUUUCCCAACUGGGGGCAGAUUGAGCUUGGAAUUUUUGGCCAGAAAGGAUUUGAGUCUGUUAAUGCAUGACUCUAGGUCAUUAGAGAGAAGAGUAUCGACAAACCCAGAGCAGUUGAUGGCGGAGACCUGUUUAAGAACGCAGAGAUCUCGGGUUUGGGAAAUGAGUUCGUCCACCAUAGAAGCGUCUGUGUCUGAGAGGAAAGAGAAAUCGGCCAUUUCUGUAGGCGAUGCUUU